CCUACGGAUGGCUGCAGUGGGGAAUAUUGGACAAUGGGCGAAAGCCUGAUCCAGCCAUGCCGCGUGUGUGAAGAAGGCCUUCGGGUGGUAAAGCACUUUCAGUGGGGAAGAAAGCCUUGGGGCUAAUACCCUCGAGGAAGGACAUCACCCACAGAAGAAGCACCGGCUAACUCCGUGCCAGCAGCCGCGGUAAUACGGAGGGUGCGAGCGUUAAUCGGAAUUACUGGGCGUAAAGCGCGCGUAGGCGGUCUGAUAAGCCGGUUGUGAAAGCCCCGGGCUCAACCUGGGAACGGCAUCCGGAACUGUCAGGCUAGAGUGCAGGAGAGGAAGGUAGAAUUCCCGGUGUAGCGGUGAAAUGCGUAGAGAUCGGGAGGAAUACCAGUGGCGAAGGCGGCCUUCUGGACUGACACUGACGCUGAGGUGCGAAAGCGUGGGUAGCAAACAGGAUUAGAUACCCGAGUAGUC
rnacentral:rRNA from 1 species